UUUUGCUCCUUUUACACAUUUCCAUUUUUUCGUGUAAGAAAAUAUUUUCAUGUUUGCGCGCGCGCCAUUUUUACCGGGUGAUUUUGUUGCGGUUUUCUCGUUCGGGAUCGGUGAAUCCGGACUAAUUCCGCAAUCCAACUGUCCGGAUGCGGAUCGGAAGUCGGUGACUCAAUCUCCGGCUAUGGGGCGGCUGACGAAAAGUGUACAGUUCUACAGCGCCCGCAUCAAGGAAGGCCCGCGCACAAUGACCGACAAGGGCGUAAUGGGGCUUCGAAGGCAUAAUCCGUAACGAGCGGAUUGGUAAAAUCGUGGCCUGCGAAGCUUGAAAAUGUCUAU